GGAUUUGAUCCUGGUUCGGGAUGACCGCUGGCGGCAUGCCUAAGACAUGCGAGUCGUACGAGGUAACCCAUGUUUCCUGAGUGCUUGUGUUAUCCGCUAUUGGAUCACUACUUAGUGGCGGAAGGGUGAGUAACACGUGGGUAAUCUGCCUCAGAGACUGGGAUAACUACUAGAAAUGGUAGCUAAUACCGGAUGAGAGAUAGAAAGAUACGUUUUUUCUAUAGUAAAAGAAGCCUUUAAAGCUUCACUUUGAGAUGAGCCUGCGGCGUAUUAGCUAGUUGGUGGGGUAAAGGCCUACCAAGGCGACGAUGCGUAGCCGACCUAAGAGGGUGAUCGGCCACACUGGGACUGAGACACGGCCCAGACUCCUACGGGAGACAGCAGUUAGGAAUAUUCGUCAAUGGGGGGAACCCUGAACGAGCAAUGCCGCGUGAACGAAGAAGGUCCUCUGGAUUGUAAAGUUCUGUUGUUAGGGACGAACGACCAGUAUAGGAAAUGAUACUGGAGUGACGGUACCUUUCAAGAAAGCUCCGGCUAACUACGUGCCAGCAGCCGCGGUAAUACGUAGGGAGCGAGCGUUAUCCGGAUUUAUUGGGUGUAAAGGGUGCGUAGGCGGAUUAAUAAGUUGGUGGUCUAAGCCCGAAGCUUAACUUCGGUUCGCCACCAAAACUGUUAACCUUGAGUAUGGUAGAGGCAAGUGGAAUUUCUAGUGUAGCGGUUAAAUGCGUAGAUAUUAGAAGGAACAUCAGUGGCGAAGGCGACUUGCUGGGCCAACACUGACGCUGAGGCACGAAAGCGUGGGGAGCAAAUAGGAUUAGAUACCCUAGUAGUCCACGCCGUAAACGAUGGAUACUAGGUGUUGGAGGAUAGACCCCUUCAGUGCCGCAGUUAACACAAUAAGUAAUCCACCUGGGGAGUACGACCGCAAGGUUGAAACUCAAAGGAAUUGACGGGGGCCCGCACAAGCAGUGGAGUAUGUGGUUUAAUUCGACGCAACGCGAAGAACCUUACCAAGUCUUGACAUCCUCUGACGAUGCUGGAAACAGUAUUUUCCUUCGGGACAGAGAGACAGGUGGUGCAUGGUUGUCGUCAGCUCGUGUCGUGAGAUGUUGGGUUAAGUCCCGCAACGAGCGCAACCCUUAUGGAUAGUUACUACGCAAGAGGACUCUAUUCAGACUGCCGUUGACAAAACGGAGGAAGGUGGGGGAUGACGUCAAAUCAUCAUGCCCUUUAUGACUUGGGCUACACACGUACUACAAUGGCGUUCAACAAAGAGAAGCGAAAUCGCGAGAUGGAGCAAAACUCAAAAACAACGUCCCAGUUCAGAUUGCAGGCUGCAACUCGCCUGCAUGAAGUCGGAAUUGCUAGUAAUCGCAGAUCAGCAUGCUGCGGUGAAUACGUUCCCGGGCCUUGUACACACCGCCCGUCCCCCCAGGAGAGCCCGGGGGACCCGAAGUAGGCAGUCUAACAGCAAGGAGGACGCCGCGGAAGGUAAAACUGGUGAGAGGGA
rnacentral:rRNA from 1 species